GCCCAAAGAUUUAUUUAAAAGCCCAAGACUUAAUUAUUUCCCCACCUUAUAUCUCCAAUCAAAAUUUUUAAGCCCCAAACCAAAAAAUAUAAGAGAGCCCAACUAACAAAACAUCUAAUUUAUUAAUGUGGCCCAAUUGCUUUUAAAAAAUAAAAGAGCAGGCCCAAAGAAAAAAUAAAAAAAAUAUACUGCCUUUUUUUGUCACGUAUACUCCCUCCCCAACAUACACAAACAAAAAUUAAGUAAACCUUACUGCAAAAGUAACAAAACAUAUUAAUACUCUCAUUCUCUAAACAAAACGUCGGCUUCCCUCCCCCUCUCUCUCUACUGUAUUCUCCCACAAAUUGCAGCUACUAACAAAACGAAGUUCCAAAUUCACCUCCAUCUCUCUCGAUUUUUCUCACAAGAAAACGAAAACUCCCAAUUAAAGAGAAAGCCCCAAAACAGAAACCGUCGAUUCUCCGAUUCACCGUCGCCUUCCACCGUCGCCGGCCGCUGCUCACCGGGAAGAAAAAUUGCGGUCGCCACGGUCCUGUCGGCGCCGUCGCGCGUCCAAAACUGCCGUCGUCUGCAGCCUCCCGUCGGUCAGCCUCUGCUGCAUUCGUCGCCACGGCGCCGCUGCCGUCGUCACCGCAGGCUGCGGUCAGUUUGCCUUCGCCGUUGAGUUCGGUCAGCGUCGGUGCCCCGAAACCAACCCGAGAUUCUCGAUUUCAAACUUACAAGCACGGAGGAGGAAAGUCUUUUCACGGAGGACGAUAAUCUUUACAAGAUCUUUAUUUAAUAUCUAAAUUAAUGUCGAUUGAUGAUCAAAUCAACAUGGAGAAUAUUAAAUUAGUUUAGUUUAAUUCACAUUACUUUGUAUUUUAUUUUAAAUUAUGCAGUCCAUAAUUUAUUUAUCACGGACUGAAUUUUUAUAUUAUUUAUUCCAUUUAUCCGAUCCAACUCGCGGAUUGAGUCCAAUAUAUUUAUUCCCCACGGAAAGGAAUUAUUUUA